rnacentral:piRNA from 1 species
UGCCAAGGACAGCCCGAUGGGUGCGCCAGC